GCCUGGCUGGCUCAGUCGGUUAAGUGUCUGACUUCGGCUCAGGUCACGAUCUCACGGUUUGUGAGUUCGAGCCCCACGUCAGGCU
rnacentral:tRNA from 1 species